rnacentral:rRNA from 1 species
GAUGAACGCUGGCGGCGUGCCUAAUACAUGCAAGUCGAGCGAACGGACGAGAAGCUUGCUUCUCUGAUGUUAGCGGCGGACGGGUGAGUAACACGUGGAUAACCUACCUAUAAGACUGGGAUAACUUCGGGAAACCGGAGCUAAUACCGGAUAAUAUUUUGAACCGCAUGGUUCAAAAGUGAAAGACGGUCUUGCUGUCACUUAUAGAUGGAUCCGCGCUGCAUUAGCUAGUUGGUAAGGUAACGGCUUACCAAGGCAACGAUGCAUAGCCGACCUGAGAGGGUGAUCGGCCACACUGGAACUGAGACACGGUCCAGACUCCUACGGGAGGCAGCAGUAGGGAAUCUUCCGCAAUGGGCGAAAGCCUGACGGAGCAACGCCGCGUGAGUGAUGAAGGUCUUCGGAUCGUAAAACUCUGUUAUUAGGGAAGAACAUAUGUGUAAGUAACUGUGCACAUCUUGACGGUACCUAAUCAGAAAGCCACGGCUAACUACGUGCCAGCAGCCGCGGUAAUACGUAGGUGGCAAGCGUUAUCCGGAAUUAUUGGGCGUAAAGCGCGCGUAGGCGGUUUUUUAAGUCUGAUGUGAAAGCCCACGGCUCAACCGUGGAGGGUCAUUGGAAACUGGAAAACUUGAGUGCAGAAGAGGAAAGUGGAAUUCCAUGUGUAGCGGUGAAAUGCGCAGAGAUAUGGAGGAACACCAGUGGCGAAGGCGACUUUCUGGUCUGUAACUGACGCUGAUGUGCGAAAGCGUGGGGAUCAAACAGGAUUAGAUACCCUGGUAGUCCACGCCGUAAACGAUGAGUGCUAAGUGUUAGGGGGUUUCCGCCCCUUAGUGCUGCAGCUAACGCAUUAAGCACUCCGCCUGGGGAGUACGACCGCAAGGUUGAAACUCAAAGGAAUUGACGGGGACCCGCACAAGCGGUGGAGCAUGUGGUUUAAUUCGAAGCAACGCGAAGAACCUUACCAAAUCUUGACAUCCUUUGACAACUCUAGAGAUAGAGCCUUCCCCUUCGGGGGGGGCAAAGUGACAGGUGGUGCAUGGUUGUCGUCAGCUCGUGUCGUGAGAUGUUGGGUUAAGUCCCGCAACGAGCGCAACCCUUAAGCUUAGUUGCCAUCAUUAAGUUGGGCACUCUAAGUUGACUGCCGGUGACAAACCGGAGGAAGGUGGGGAUGACGUCAAAUCAUCAUGCCCCUUAUGAUUUGGGCUACACACGUGCUACAAUGGACAAUACAAAGGGCAGCGAAACCGCGAGGUCAAGCAAAUCCCAUAAAGUUGUUCUCAGUUCGGAUUGUAGUCUGCAACUCGACUACAUGAAGCUGGAAUUGCUAGUAAUCGUAGAUCAGCAUGCUACGGUGAAUACGUUCCCGGGUCU